AUUGAACGCUGGCGGCAGGCCUAACACAUGCAAGUCGAGCGAGUGGCGGACGGGUGAGUAAUGUAUGGGGAUCUGCCCGAUAGAGGGGGAUAACUACUGGAAACGGUAGCUAAUACCGCAUACUAUCAGAUGAACCCAUAUGGGAUUAGCUAGUAGGUGGGGUAAAGGCUCACCUAGGCGACGAUCCCUAGCUGGUCUGAGAGGAUGAUCAGCCACACUGGAACGGAGAAACGGCCCAGACUCCUACGGGAGGCAGAAGUGGGGAAUAUUGCACAAUGGGCGCAAGCCUGAUGCAGCAAUGCCGCGUGUAUGAAGAAGGCCUUAGGGUUGUAAAGUACUUUCAGCGGGGAGGCGUUACCCGCAGAAGAAGCACCGGCUAACUCCGUGCCAGCAGCCGCGGUAAUUC
rnacentral:rRNA from 1 species